GGAUAUGAAGAGGAUGGCACUGUGGUGUAUGUUAACCCACUGACUGUCAGGGUUAAUCUUGCUGGCCAACCAGGUGUCCUCUUCUUCUCUCACUGCUCCAUGUUUUUCCCUCUUGAAGCUGAGCAGUCAGUCAGUCAAAGAGGACUGUUCUUGGGCCAAGGGUAUAUGAGGAGCUGUGCUCCCUGACAGAACAUCCAAACCAACUAAGUUUGUAUUUCCAAAACCUGAACGACUGUCCUGAAUGUGAAGAGUCAAGCCUAUCCCUCUAUGUAUAUUAUGUAUACUCUAUACAGUACAAUUGU
rnacentral:snRNA from 1 species